GGCCUCAUACAUGCAAGUUCGAGCGCGAAAGUCCGCAAGGAUGAGUAAAGCGGCGCACGGGUGAGUAACACGUGGAUAAUCUACCUUUUGGAUUGGAAUAACCUGUCGAAAGACGGGCUAAUACCGGAUAAGUUCUCGAGGGCGUAAAGCUCUUGAGAAGAAAGCUGGCGCAAGCAAGCACCGAAAGAUGAGUCUGCGUCCCAUUAGCUAGUUGGUAGGGUAAAAGCCUACCAAGGCUACGAUGGGUACCUGGUCUGAGAGGAUGAUCAGGCACACUCGAACUUGACACGGUCCAGACUCCUACGGGAGGCAGCAGUAGGGAAUAUUGCGCAAUGGGGGAAACCCUGACGCAGCCUCUCCGCGUGGGUGAAGAAGGCCUUCGGGUCGUAAAGC
rnacentral:rRNA from 1 species